AGAUGAGAGUUUGAUUGAAAAAAAAUAAAAAAUAAACUAGUAGAAGCCCAUUUGCAGUACCCGAUUCUAUCGUCUCGGCCCGAACCAGCCGCCACCGCCUAUUUCCUUUUGCAUCGCCACCGCCACCGCCACCGCCGCCGCCGCCGCCAACAAACAGUUUGCUCGGUGACAGAAUCACAAGCCACCUUUGCUAGCUUCGGCCGUAUUCCGGAGAGUUUGACUGUCGAAUAAUGCUUCUAAGGCAGAUUCCAAAGCGUUGCAUUUACACCGCCGCCGCAUUGCCUGAACCGCGACCUUGGCUUUUCGUGGGUUUGGGCAAUCCAGGCGACAAAUUUAUGGGCACCAGACAUAAUGUGGGGUUUGAAUUCAUUGAUGCAUUUGCAAAAUCACAUCGGAUUGCGAUGGACUCUGUGCACUGCAAAGCCAUAUUUGGAAAAGGUAUUAUAAAUAUGGUUCCAGUUUUCUUGGCAAAACCUCAGACUCACAUGAACUUAAGUGGUGAAUCUAGUGGUCCUCUUGCAGCCUACUAUAAGCUUCCCCUUAACCGAGUUCUAGUGCUUCAUGAUGACAUGACUUUGCCCUGUGGAGUUCUUCGUCUGAACCCCCUUGGAAAUCAUGGAUGUCAUAACGGAAUGAAGAGUGUUAUCAAUCAUUUUCGUGGGAAUAGAGAAUUUCCUCGUUUAAGAAUCGGUAUUGGGAGACCUGCCGGUCAAAUGGAUCCAAAAGCAUUCUUACUCCAAAAAUUUAAUGUCAGAGCUCGAGAGAGGAAUGGCAGAUUGAUGCUGCAUUACAAGAAGGUGUCGAUGCUCUAACGCAGGUGUUGUCCAAAGGCCUCACAGAGAGUGCACGAUGCUUCAACAAGGAGCAGAAAUACAAACACUUGAGACUACAAACCAUGCCAGUAUGACAGAAGUACUCAAGCCGAAUUUCAUGAAUGACAUUGAGUUGUUGGCAACGCGAACACCAUCGUUUGCAGACUUGCUGCAAAGCCAGAGGCCAAUGGAGUUAGUUCCUGUAGCAUAUUCACAACUCAAAGUAGCUGAUACCUCGAAGGAAAACAGUGCGUCGUGUAGCUUCACAAGGAGCUGAGACGAAGAGGUGUGGAAAUCACAUCAAGUCAAGUGCUGCAGUUGAUGCGCAGCGUAUAGAGUCGCAAAUAUAGUACUCCUAUAUACCUUUUUUUUUUCUUUUCCUUUAGAUGAUGCAUGGGUUUUUAAUUAAUUACAAAUAUAAUUAACUGCUAAAGUAGAGCGGCUUUUGGUA